AGCGAACGUUAGCGGCGGGCCUAACACAUGCAAGUCGAACGAGAAUGUAGGCUUCGGUCUACUAGUAAAGUGGCGGACGGGUGCGUAACACGUGGGUAAUCUACCUUCCGGCGGGGGACAACAGUCCGAAAGGAUUGCUAAUACCGCAUACGUCAGCGGUGCCUACGGGCACUGUUGGGAAAGAUGGCCUCUCCUUGGAAGCUGUCACCGGAAGAUGAGCCCGCGUCCCAUCAGCUAGUUGGUGAGGUAAUGGCUCACCAAGGCUAAGAAGGGUAGGUGGUCUGAGAGGAUGCGCAGCCACACUGGGACGGCGACGCGGCCCAGACUCCUACGGGAGGCAGCAGUGGGGAAUAUUGGGCAAUGGGCGAAAGCCUGACCCAGCCACGCCGCGUGAGUGAUGAAGGCCUUCGGGUCGUAAAGCUCUGUGGGGAGGGACGAACAAGUUCUGGGCUAAUCACCAGGACCCUGACGGUACCUCCUUAGCAAGCACCGGCUAACCCUGUGCCAGCAGCCGCCGUAACAC
rnacentral:rRNA from 1 species